rnacentral:rRNA from 1 species
UACGGGGGGGGCAAGCGUUGUUCGGAAUUACUGGGCGUAAAGGGCUCGUAGGCGGCCAACUAAGUCAGACGUGAAAUCCCUCGGCUUAACCGGGGAACUGCGUCUGAUACUGGAUGGCUUGAAUCCGGGAGAGGGAUGCGGAAUUCCAGGUGUAGCGGUGAAAUGCGUAGAGAUGUGGAGGAACACCGAUGGCGAAGGCAGCCCCCUGGGCUAACACUGACGCUCAUGCACGAAAGCGUGGGGAGCAAACAGG